rnacentral:rRNA from 1 species
AAGCAUAUCAAUAAGCGGAGGAAAAGAAACCAACAGGGAUUGCCUCAGUAGCGGCGAGUGAAGCGGCAAGAGCUCAGAUUUGAAAUCGUGCUUUGCGGCACGAGUUGUAGAUUGCAGGUUGGAGUCUGUGUGGAAGGCGGUGUCCAAGUCCCUUGGAACAGGGCGCCCAGGAGGGUGAGAGCCCCGUGGGAUGCCGGCGGAAGCAGUGAGGCCCUUCUGACGAGUCGAGUUGUUUGGGAAUGCAGCUCCAAGCGGGUGGUAAAUUCCAUCUAAGGCUAAAUACUGGCGAGAGACCGAUAGCGAACAAGUACUGUGAAGGAAAGAUGAAAAGCACUUUGAAAAGAGAGUGAAACAGCACGUGAAAUUGUUGAAAGGGAAGGGUAUUGCGCCCGACAUGGGGAUUGCGCACCGCUGCCUCUCGUGGGCGGCGCUCUGGGCUUUCCCUGGGCCAGCAUCGGUUCUUGCUGCAGGAGAAGGGGUUCUGGAACGUGGCUCUUCGGAGUGUUAUAGCCAGGGCCAGAUGCUGCGUGC